CCCCCCACCCGCCGCCCCGCCCGCCCCGAGCACCCCCUUACCUUGCCUGGGGUGCAGCUUCUGCCUCCUCGCUCCCGUCCUCAAGCCGUCGAUGAAGAGCGUGGCAGCUCGAAGAAGUGGACCAGUAAUCGAAGAAUCUCCCCGUGUGACACUUCUUUCAGCAGUUGUUUUCUUCUGCAUUUCUCAGAUAGGAGACAAUUCAAGCAAGUUUUGUUUAGGGUUAUAUUUAUGUUGUGCAGUUUUCAGGCACCCUGAGGGAAAAGAAAGAGUAUUUCCUUAUCUGAGUUUAUUUUGUUUUGUUUUACUAUUUGAAAGUUUUCUGUAAAAAUUUAAGACAUCCUUUAGAACUAAAUGUAAUUAAGCAUUGUCUUCUACCCCUUCCUCAAACCAAACCCCCAAACCUUGGUUUAAAAGGUUUUUAAACCUUCAAAGCCUGUAGGCAAGGCAAAAGAAAAUAGAUCUCUGGAAGUUUGAUUUGCACUUCCAUAGAAAAUUUUAAAGUUCUGUACUUUCUUCACUUGACUUUGGGACAAAGAACAGAAAUGCCAAUAUUUGCUGCAGAAAGGGAAAGCUUUAAAAUAAAAAUAAAAAUCAAUUCAGAAUCUA